GAAAGGCGGGCUAAUACCGAAUGACAUCUUGAAGACUUAUGUUUUCAGGAUCAAAGGUGGCCUCUACAUGUAAGCUAUUGUUUGGGGAUGGGCCCGCGUACCAUUAGCUUGUUGGUAGGGUAAUAGCCUACCAAGGCUACGAUGGUUAGCUGGUCUGAGAGGGUGAUCAGCCACACUGGAACUGACACACGGUCCAGACUCCUACGGGAGGCAGCAGUGAGGAAUUUUGCGCAAUGGGGGAAACCCUGACGCAGCAACGCCGCGUGAGUGAUGAAGGCUUUCGGGUCGUAAAGCUCUGUCAAGUGGGAAGAACUCAUAUGGUGUUAAUAUCGCCAUAUGCUGACGGUACCACUGAAGGAAGCACCGGCUAACUCCGUGCCAGCAGCCGCGGUAAUACGGGGGGUGCGAGCGUUAUUCGGAAUUACUGGGCGUAAAGAGCGCGUANGCGGUCUUUUAAGUCAGGUGUGAAAGCCCGGGGCUCANCCCCGGAAGUGCACUUGAAACUAA
rnacentral:rRNA from 1 species